UUGGGAAUAUUCGGUCUCACAGCUCCUUUCCCCACCAUUACAGCUGUGCCCUGGUGCAGGGAGAAGAAAAUGGAUAUCAAAGUGAGAGCAUACGUGACAUGGAGUCAGGUGCAGACAAGCCCAGGCUGAGUGUUGCCAAGCCUUCCCCGCCACCUGCAUGGAGCAGAGAGCAUCUGUGCUCCCUGUGGAUGUGUCUCCUUUCAGUCACCUGCCCAUUGGACAAGGCAGCCUGAGCCUGUGCUAUUUUUGU
rnacentral:lncRNA from 1 species